rnacentral:misc_RNA from 1 species
CCUCAGCUGUCUUAUCCUUGCCCUAAACAAUGAAACAUAUCAGGGGUAACAGCUCAAGUAUAAGAUUUAAAAAUAAAUAAAUAAGAAAUAACAAAACAUUUAACAUAACUUAGGUCAAUGAAUAAAAUUUAAUCAGCAUCUCUUAAGGUUUCAAAUUCCGACUCAUUUAACCUUUUCCAAAGCAGAAUAUGAGAGAGGAAAAUUUUCUUUUGGAAAAGGAAUAAACCACCACGAGACCCCUGAGCUUUGUGUAUUUUGUCUAUUGAGCCCCCUAGACUUCUAUUACUCCACAUGAAGCCCUUGAACAUGUAUGGAUGUCUUUUUUAACAGCUCUUAAGCAUGUAAAUUUCACACAUUGAUAAUUUCAUCACAGACCAAUUUAGUGCAGAAAAACGAGUCUGACUAGACACUAGACAGUAAGAACUGUCACAAGAGCGCUGAACUUUGCAUAUUUUGACUAUUCAGCACCUGCACUUUGUGUGUUUUGUCUAUUAAGUCCCUGAAUCAGACCCAAUAGAUCUUUAGGGGCUCAAUAGACAAAACAUGCAAAUUCAGGUCCUUAGGAUACUUUUUUCCUUGGGAAAAUUGCAAUAACAAUUAUGCACACUAGAAAUGCUCCUUAGGUAGUAAGAGCCAGAAUUUGAAGACAAUCAAAUAACAAUACUGACUUAUAAAAUGAACAUGACUCAACUUGGCUGCUAAAGUUGUUAGUUAGUUAGAUAGAAAUCAGAUAAACUUUCAUGUCUAAUUAAAUUCUGUUCAGUUCCAAGAUUCUUGAAGAAUUAAAGCCAACAAAGCAUUCCAAUAUAAGGCAGCUCCAGUUGCUGAUUUCAUGCAUGCAGGAAACAACAGCACCAAAAUUCACAAGCAGCAUACCAACUAGGUGUGGCUUGUCAUAACAAGUAAGAACUAUGGAUUCAAUACCCUGGUCCUUUCCCUGAGAAACUCUUC